UAGAGUUUGAUCAUGGCUCAGAUUGAACGCUGGCGGCAUGCCUUACACAUGCAAGUCGAACGGCAGCACGGAGCUUGCUYUGGUGGCGAGUGGCGAACGGGUGAGUAAUAUAUCGGAACGUACCCUCGAGCGGGGGAUAACUAGUCGAAAGAUUAGCUAAUACCGCAUACGAUCUACGGAGGAAAGCAGGGGAUUCGCAAGAACCUUGUGCUCGUGGAGCGGCCGAUAUCUGAUUAGCUAGUUGGUAGGGUAAAAGCCUACCAAGGCUUCGAUCAGUAGCUGGUCUGAGAGGACGACCAGCCACACUGGGACUGAGACACGGCCCAGACUCCUACGGGAGGCAGCAGUGGGGAAUUUUGGACRAUGGGGGCAACCCUGAUCCAGCCAUUCCGCGUGAGUGAAGAAGGCCUUCGGGUUGUAAAGCUCUUUUGUCCGGAGCGAAACGGUUAGCGUGAAUAUCGCUGACUACUGACGGUACCGGAAGAAUAAGCACCGGCUAACUACGUGCCAGCAGCCGCGGKAAUAC
rnacentral:rRNA from 1 species